rnacentral:rRNA from 1 species
GACGAACGCUGGCGGCAUGCCUAAUACAUGCAAGUCGAGCGGAGCGGCGGACGGGUGAGUAAUGCCUAGGAAUCUGCCUGGUGGUGGGGGAUCACGUCCGGAAACGGGAGCCAAUACCGCAUACUAUCAGAUCAGUCUAGGUUGGAUUAGCUAGUUGGUCGGGGAAAGGCUUACCAAGGCGACGAUGCGAAGCCGGACGGAGAGGAUGAUCAGUCACACUGGAACUGAGAAACGGUCCAGACUCCUACGGGAGGCAGCAGUGGGGAAUAUUCGGCAAUGGGCGAAAGCCUGAUCGAGCCACGCCGCGUGAGUGAAGAAGGUCUUCGGAUUGUAAAGCUCUUUAAGUAGAGAAGCGUUACCGACAGAAUAAGCACCGGCUAACUACGUGCCAGCAGCCGCGGUAAUAC